rnacentral:misc_RNA from 1 species
AACCAUAGAAACCUGCGGAGUACCUGCGGAAGGAUCAUUACCGAGUUUACAACUCCCAAACCCCUGUGAACAUACCUAUACGUUGCCUCGGCGGAUCAGCCCGCGCCCUGUAAAACGGGACGGCCCGCCCGAGGACCCUAAACUCUGUUUUUAGUGGAACUUCUGAGUAAAACAAACAAAUAAAUCAAAACUUUCAACAAUGGAUCU